UGGCGGACGGGUGAGUAACGCGUGGGUAACCUGCCUUGUACUGGGGGACAACAGUUAGAAAUGACUGCUAAUACCGCAUAAGCGCACAGUAUCGCAUGAUACGGUGUGAAAAACUCCGGUGGUACAAGAUGGACCCGCGUCUGAUUAGCUAGUUGGUAAGGUAACGGCUUACCAAGGCGACGAUCAGUAGCCGACCUGAGAGGGUGACCGGCCACAUUGGGACUGAGACACGGCCCAA
rnacentral:rRNA from 1 species